UUGAUAUCAAAAAUGAUUUUUUAAAAAAUAAAAACAAUAUUAUUUUGAUAUAUUUCUGAGUAAAAAAUAUUUUGAAAAGUAACCGCAAUCACAUUUCCAAACACACCCAAAAAGUCUUUUAUUCUUUCUUUCUUUUUUUCCGGUUCAAGAAUAAGCUUUUAUUUCAGUUGUAAGAAUUUAUAGUCGUGAAUUGCAUCUUUAAAGAACAGGAAGCUUACCGAAGUUUUAACUUGUGAUGAAAGUAAAAUAUUUAUUCCGUUUUUUCUUAUAAAUAACAACCUAUGAUUUCAGUGCUAAAAUAUUAUGUAUACAAAUUCAUAAAGUUACACUUCGCUUUGAAUAAAACACAAUUUGGUGGCACAGCAAGUGAAGCAAAACUCAGGUUGUUCGUCGAGUCCUCGAGCAUUAUUCUUCAGGAAUUGAAGCAAAACUCAAAUUGCUCGCCGAGUCCUCAAGCAUUAUUCUUCAGGAAAUCAAACAUGGGCAUUCAUAAGGUGUCUGAAACUGUUGAAAGACUAUGGAACGGAUGGGAGCUUCGCAUGGUGAUGUUGCUCAGUCUCUUUCUUCAAAUCUUUCUUAUAAUCUUUGGGCGUAGA